rnacentral:lncRNA from 1 species
UGGGACCAUAGGUGUAUGCCACCAGGAGAGAUUUAACCAAGAGUCUGACACAUUUUAAGCAAAUGAAUGGAGCAUUCAAGUAUUGAUCUAUGGCCCCUGUUCCUCAGCAUACGUGUGGAUGCCCUCUGUACAUGCACUCUUUGGGACCUCAGUAAAUGGAAGUAUAUUUGUAUCAGUUCACCAUGCUCCCAGUUCUCCAGGCUUGCUCUUGCUAGGUCACAGCAAACUACCUUCUUCUCUCACACUCCAUAUAGGGUUGAUCUCUAAGUUUGCCUAGUCUCUCUCCUCUUCCCAUCUUGGUAUGUCUGAAUGUUGCAAAAUCCCUUAUUCAAGCUGUCUACCUUAAGGCCUCCACUCCAAGCAGACAUGUCCAGCCCAUGGCCUCCAGGUUAAAUCCUCUUAAUGCAACAUGUUCACAUUUGUACUCUUGGACUCCUAAUUUUCGAUAGUAUUCUCCUAGUUUCUCCAGAAUAUGAAUUUAUUAUUCUUAUCGAAGUUUACCUUUCAUUUUCCUCAGUAUAAAUGGCCAAUUCUGUUCAACCUGGUCACAAACAUUCUGCUAAAAUCAAUGUAUCUGUUGCUGUGAAAAAUCUUCAAAAGUUUUCAUACAAAACAUGAUUCUAUCACAAAGACUUGAUACUCUCUUAUAUUAGGUUGGUGCAAAAGUAAUUGCCAUCAUCACAUGGAAAAGAAGAGAGACUGGGUAUUUUAAAAUAUUAUUUAAUUUUUUUUUCUUGCAGAUUAAAAAAAAUUCAGAACACUUGAGGGAUGUUCUAAAGGGCUGUGGGAGUACUUGUAUGAAUCCUAGCUGUCUGAAAACAGCUUGGGCUAUUGUUCAAAGAUCAUGUUGCCUGACAUGGAUUGCAGAAGCUGAAGUUUUAUGAUGUCUUGCGGGGCUUUGGAAGGGGCACUAGAGUACUAGAGGGGAGACUGGAAUUCCAGAGUUUUAAGUCCUUCCUCAACUCCUGAGUUCACCAUUAUCAGCAUUGUUAAUGUGUCUUUCACUUUCAUGGUUGUGCCCAAUACUGAAAGAAGCAUAUAAUAAUAGUUUAAAACUAUUGACUGAUACUAGGUACUCAAUACAAUUUCAGUUGAAUGAAUGGCUAUUACUCUGUAUAAAAUAAAAGAAAAUCACAAAAUAAGUAAUCUUUCAGUAAAAUCAUGCAGUUCAGGCCAGAUCUCAGAAUAAAUGACCUUUGAUUUAUUCACUAUUAUUGGAAGUGCCAGAAUAUACCUUUACUGUGCAUGCUGUUUAUCAAGAGGGUUGGUAUGUACUGAAGCACUUCUGUGUGAUUUUGUAUGAGUUGAUAUUUUGCUGGUUUGUGAAAUUGUCUGAACCCUGAUCAUGAUGUUGUGCUGCCACACAUGGCGAGGUUUGUGUUUCAGCUGAGAUAAUGCAUUGGGCCCAAAUGCCCCAUAAUUAUAUGUGCUGUGUAAAAAAGUUUUAAAAAACACAUUGAAAGAAACAGAGUGGGGAGAUGGUGAUGUCAUCGAUGCAGGGCCCUUGGGUGCUGACCUUUGCAGGGCUUUCAGCUGCGAGCUAGGAGAGGUGUACCCAGAGACCUUGUAACUGUCAGCUAUCUCUCCUAUGCAGGUAGACAGAACAACUGCCUCAGAAAGAUCCAGUGUCUAUUUCAUCCAUGAGGGAACGUUUGGCUGUGACAACAUUGAUGGCAUGUGGUUGGGCACAAUGAGAGAGAACAAGAGGCAAAAAGACACAAGGCUACCUUGUGAAGGGGCCUCAUGUCUAGUUCACUCUCAGCAGGUGAGAUAAUGAAUCUCUGUCUCAGCCUGAGCCUAAAGCCAUAGCCAUAUUUAUAAUAUCUCUGCAAAAUGUGCUGAAGAAU